rnacentral:rRNA from 1 species
AUUGAACGCUGGCGGCAGGCCUAACACAUGCAAGUCGAGCGGAGCGGCGGACGGGUGAGUAAUGCCUAGGAAUCUGCAUGGUAGUGGGGGAUAACGUCCGGAAACGGGCGCUAAUACCGCAUAAUAUCAGAUGAGCCUAGGUCGGAUUAGCUAGUUGGGGGGGUAAAGGCCUACCAAGGCGACGAUCCGUAACUGGUCUGAGAGGCAGAUCAGUCAGACUGGAACUGAGACACGGUCCAUACUCCUACGGUAGGCAGCAGUGGAGAAUCUUGGACAAGGGGCGAAAGCCUGAUACAGCCAUGCCGCGUGUGUGAAGAAGGUCUUCGGAUUGUAAAGCACUUUAAGUUGGGAAGCGUUACCAACAGAAUAAGCACCGGCUAACUUCGUGCCAGCAGCCGCGGUAAUUC